AACGAACGCUGGCGGCAUGCCUAACACAUGCAAGUCGAACGAGACCUUCGGGUCUAGUGGCGCACGGGUGCGUAACGCGUGGGAACCUGCCCUUAGGUUCGGAAUAACUCCCCGAAAGGGGUGCUAAUACCGGAUAAUGUCUUCGGACCAAAGAUUUAUCGCCUUUGGAUGGGCCCGCGUUGGAUUAGCUAGUUGGUAGGGUAAAAGCCUACCAAGGCGACGAUCCAUAGCUGGUCUGAGAGGAUGAUCAGCCACACUGGGACUGAGACACGGCCCAGACUCCGACGGGAGGCAGCAGUGGGGAAUAAUGGACAAUGGGCGAAAGCCUGAUCCAGCAAGGCCGCGUGAGUGAUGAAGGCCUUAGGGUUGUAAAGCUCUUUUACCCGGGAUGAUAAUGACAGUACCGGGAGAAUAAGCUCCGGCUAACUCCGU
rnacentral:rRNA from 1 species